GUGAGGCACGAACUGAGAGGUGCUGGCGUGUCCCAUACCUCUCUCACCUUCAGAACUCCCUGAGGCCUCGUGUUCUUUCUGUCUGUCAUCAGGAAUGGGAAGCUGAUCUGUUUGGGGACGUGCCAGUGAAGCGGUGUGCGUUGGCACCACCAGCGGCUGUCAUUCUCAGGAGACAAUGGGAUUGGAGCGCCAAGGGGGAGAGUUCUCCAUGCAGAAUUUCCCUGCUUAAUCCGCUCUUGUGCGCUGGCACCAAGUCAACAAAGGAAAGGAACCAAAUUACCCGGGCGGCUUUGGCAGGCUGCACCACUGUCAGCGGGCCAGAAGUUAAUUCCCUCAUCUUCCCCCGUGCCACCAACUCAGGGGGCAGGUC
rnacentral:lncRNA from 1 species